rnacentral:rRNA from 1 species
ACGCGAAGAACCUUACCAGGUCUUGACAUCCCAUUGACCGCUAUGGAGACAUAGCUUUCCUUUCGGGGACAGUGGUGACAGGUGGUGCAUGGUUGUCGUCAGCUCGUGUCGUGAGAUGUUGGGUUAAGUCCCGCAACGAGCGCAACCCUUGAUCUUAGUUGCCAGCAUUUAGUUGGGCACUCUAAGGUGACUGCCGGUGACAAACCGGAGGAAGGUGGGGAUGACGUCAAAUCAUCAUGCCCCUUAUGACCUGGGCUACACACGUGCUACAAUGGAUGGUACAAAGGGCAGCAAAACCGCGAGGUCGAGCAAAUCCCAUAAAACCAUUCUCAGUUCGGAUUGUAGGCUGCAACUCGCCUACAUGAAGCUGGAAUCGCUAGUAAUCGCGGAUCAGCAUGCCGCGGUGAAUACGUUCCCGGGCCUUGUACACACCGCCCGU